rnacentral:rRNA from 1 species
AGUUUGAUCCUGGCUCAGGACGAACGCUGGCGGCGUGCCUAAUACAUGCAAGUCGAACGGUCUUUUCUAUGGAAGCUUGCUUCCACUGAGAAGAUAGUGGCGAACGGGUGAGUAACACGUGGGUAACCUGCCCAUAAGAGGGGGAUAACAUCCGGAAACGGGUGCUAAUACCGCAUAGUUUUCUUGAUCGCAUGAUUGAGAAAGGAAAGACGGCCUUUGUGCUGUCGCUUAUGGAUGGACCCGCGGCGUAUUAGUUAGUUGGUGAGGUAACGGCUCACCAAGACGAUGAUACGUAGCCGACCUGAGAGGGUGAUCGGCCACAUUGGGACUGAGACACGGCCCAAACUCCUACGGGAGGCAGCAGUAGGGAAUCUUCCGCAAUGGACGAAAGUCUGACGGAGCAACGCCGCGUGAGUGAAGAAGGUUUUCGGAUCGUAAAACUCUGUUGUCAGAGAAGAACAAGUUGGAGAGUAACUGCUCCAGCCUUGACGGUAUCUGACCAGAAAGCCACGGCUAACUACGUGCCAGCAGCCGCGGUAAUACGUAGGUGGCAAGCGUUGUCCGGAUUUAUUGGGCGUAAAGCGAGCGCAGGCGGUUCCUUAAGUCUGAUGUGAAAGCCCACGGCUCAACCGUGGAAGGUCAUUGGAAACUGGGGAACUUGAGUGCAGAAGAGGAGAGUGGAAUUCCAUGUGUAGCGGUGAAAUGCGUAGAUAUAUGGAGGAACACCAGUGGCGAAGGCGAUCUCGGUCUGUACUGACUUAAGGC